GUCCACGCCGUAAACGAUGUGUGCUGGAUGUCGGUGGUAUUCACCCCCUCGGUAUCGAAGCUAACGCGAUAAGCACACCGCCUGGGGAGUACGGCCGCAAGGUUGAAACUCAAAGGAAUUGACGGGGGCCCACACAAGCGGUGGAGUAUGUGGUUUAAUUCGACGCAACGCGAAGAACCUUACCCAGCCUUGACAUCCCUGGAACCCGAUGGAAACACCGGGGUGCCCUCGCAAGAGGGAGCCAGGAGACAGGUGCUGCAUGGCUGUCGU
rnacentral:rRNA from 1 species